AUAGCGGAGGAAAGAAACUAACAAGGAUUCCCUCAGUAACGGCGAGUGAAGAGGGAAGAGCUCAGUUUUGAAAUCUGGCAGUCAUUCACUGUCCGAGUUGUAAAUUGAAGAGAUUGUCAUCCACACUGGACCAUGUCUAAAUUGUAAUGAUCCACAGUCCUUUGAUGGAGUAUCAGAGAGGGUAAUAAUCCCCGUCUUUAACGUGGACUCCCAGUGUUUAUGUGAUGCAUUCUCUCAGAGUCGAGUAGUUUGGGAAUGCUGCUCUAAUGGGAGGUAAACUCCUUCUAAAGCUAAAUAUUGGCGAGAGACCGAUAGCGAACAAGUACCGUGAGGGAAAGAUGAAAAGAACUCUGAAAAGAGAGUCAAACAGAACGUGAAAUUGCUGAAAGGGAAGCGUUUGGAGUCAGAUGCGUCUUCAUGGAAUAACGGCUUCUGCAAAGAGGUCAGUGACUUGAAGAUGGGCCAGCACUCACGUAGACCAUUGGAAAAGGGGUCAUUGGAAUGUAGCUCACUUGUUGAGUGAUUAUAGCCUUGAUUCAUAUACAAUGUGUGUUAUGUGAGAUAGACAGCACGACUCACUCAGUCAGUGCUUGCUUGAUUGGCAUAAUGGCUCUAAGCGACCCGUCUUGAAACACGGACCAAGGAGUCUAACAUGUAUGCGAGUAUUAGAGUGAUUGAAACUCUGAAUGCGCAAUGAAAGUGGUCUUUGACUGAGAAUCCUCAGUUAGGGGAGGCAUCAGUACCCCGAGUCUGCUAGUCUUUGACUAAAGAUUUGGAGGUAGAGCAUAUAUGUUGGGACCCGAAAGAUGGUGAACUAUGCCUGAAUAGGGUGAAGUCAGAGGAAACUCUGAUGGAGGCCCGUAGCGAUUCUGACGUGCAAAUCGAUCGUAGAAUUUGGGUAUAGGGGCGAAAGACUAAUCGAACCAUCUAGUAGCUGGUC
rnacentral:rRNA from 1 species